AAGGAGGGCAUUGCGUUGUUGCCUUGGCUGCCUCCUUGCAGCUGCUUUUCUUGGUGUUCACAGUUCUUCAUCAUCAUUACACUAUUGUUCUAAAUUCAAUCUCCCUCUUCACCCUCCUCAUCGUGCACUGCGCCAUGUGCUCCUCUGUGUGAACAAUGGAGGACAAUGGAGGACGAUGGAGGACGAUGGAGGACGAUGGAGGACGAUGGAGGACGAUGGAGGACGAUGGAGGACGAUGGAGGACAAUGGAGGACGAUGGAGCACGAUGGAGGACAAUGGAGGACGAUGGAGGACGAUGGAGGACGAUGGAGGGCGCAGUUCAAUGUCAUGCCAGCCAGGGCCCGAGAAUUGGUUUGUCUGGCCAUGCACUGCUGAAGUGAAAAUAUGACUGCUGUUUUCAUCUCACUGGAGUUAUGAAGGAAUCUAUCUAAUCUAAUCUUUAUCUAACUGAUGAAUUUACUAUCACAAAAGGCCCAGCUAACAAUUCAAUGGUGAGAGAACACUUUUGUAAUGUUACCCGUAAUGUUUCCCUAAUGUUUGAUUGUCCAGUGUUCCGUUUGUUAUGGGAACAGUUUAUGUGUGUUAGCAAAAAACCUCCUAAUGAUCUAUUUUGGAUGUUUUGAGCAUUAGAGUUAGGAGAACGUUCCCUAAAUGUCAAACAAAACUUACCCAGCAUGUAAAGUUCUAGGCACGUUUCAUGGGAACGUUGCAAGAACAUUCAUGUUUGUUAAGAGGAUAUUCCAUCAACAUUGCUCACAGAAAUACGAUUGCCAUGUUCCAACAGGUGAUGGGAACGUUGCGAGAAUAUUCCUGCGUCCAAUGACGUUUAAAACGUAGGACGUUCUGUCACGUUCACCUCGAGGUUUUUGUCAAACUCCCAGCUUGUUCCGAGGAAAAUCCCUAAAGAUGUUUUUAGGACGUUUCCUGAUGGCCCCAAAGAAACAUGCUCCAAAAACAAAACAAAAAAUGAGUUUCUUUACACACCACCCCUUGUUACUGUUGCCAAGCACAUCAGGGCCCUGAUUGGUGAACCACUGAUCCAUUCACAGCUCUUUGUCUGUUGGCAAGGCUAGGGACACCAACACACACAGUGCUUCUAACAUACAAUGUUUUCAACUUACAUUUGACACAACCCUCAAAAAACUGGCCACAUGAAUGCUAUUGUAACGUUCCAAUGAAACGUGUCUAUAAAAUCUACAUAUAAUAUUCUGAGAACAUGUUAACAAAGUUCUGGGUAAGUUCUGUUUGACAUUAAGAGAAUGAUCUCUUGGAAACAGUCCUUGCACAUCACUGGAACGUUCCUAUGAAAACGUUAGGUAAAUUAAACAGUCAUCUAGUCAU